UAGUCCACGCCGUAAACGUUGGGCACUAGGUGUGGGUCUCAACCAACGGGAUCCGUGCCGCAGCUAACGCAUUAAGUGCCCCGCCUGGGGAGUACGGCCGCAAGGCUAAAACUCAAAGGAAUUGACGGGGGCCCGCACAAGCGGCGGAGCAUGUUGCUUAAUUCGAGGCAACGCGAAGAACCUUACCUGGGUUUGACAUGUAGGGAAAAGCCGUAGAGAUACGGUGUCCUUCGGGGUCCUACAC
rnacentral:rRNA from 1 species